UACAGAGGUCUCAAGCGUUGUUCGGAUUCAUUGGGCGUAAAGGGUGCGUAGGCGGCGCGGUAAGUCGGGUGUGAAAUCUUGGAGCUUAACUCCGAAACUGCAUUCGAUACUGCCGUGCUUGAGGACUGGAGAGGAGACUGGAAUUUACGGUGUAGCGGUGAAAUGCGCAGAUAUCAGGAGGAACACCUAUGGCGAAGGCAGCUCGCUGGGACGUGACUGACGCUGAGACGCGAAAGCGUGGGGAGCAAACAGG
rnacentral:rRNA from 1 species